rnacentral:lncRNA from 1 species
CAAUGGAUGCUCUUAAGUCGCAUUUUAUCCUAUGCAUUUUUAGAAGUUUUCACGAAACCAAUUUCAAUGAAUGAGAGACUUUUAAUUCACAAUUCAACAUCUUGAGAGAAAAGAGAAAUAUGCAACUGCGAAGUUCUCACGGGAGAAGUCCUGAGCACACUGCAAGGCAUCCUGGGACCACAGUCUCAAGGGUCACAGAGGAAGGGACUUCGGGGCUGAGACCUGCAGGAAGUGAGGGAACUGCAGGCCUGUCCUCACCCAGGGGAGGUGGAGCCCCCAGACGCUGUGAUAUGAAAUUCCAGAUCAUGGGAGGGAGAGUUUGAAGAAGGAAGAACCACCAAUAGAAAGCGGUCCCCAAAGAGGUAUCGGGGAUGGCACCCAGACAGGAGCACAUGUACCACUGCCCAGAAUGUGCAUUUCACUAGACAAGUGACCACAAAAGGCGGAGCACAGAGGACUUUUAGGAUGGUGAAGCUACCCAGUGAGAGACUACAAUGGUGAAUAUACGGUAUUAUUCAUUUGUCGAAACCCACAGAAGGCACAACAUCAAGAAUGAACGCUAAUGUAAACUACAGACUUCACAGGGCGACGAUGUGUCAAUGCGGUUCACCAACUGUAAUCAAUGUACCAAUCUAUGGUGGAUACUGAUAAUGGGGAGGCAGGGGGAAGGAAGGAGAAAUAUAUAGGAACUGUCUGUAUUUUCUGUUCAAUUUUGCUUGAACCUAAAACUCUUCUAAAAAUAAUGUUUAUUUAAAAGGCAGGGGGGAUGGACUAAGUUCAGAGUUUCCUGGUAGCCAAGGGAAAGAAUGUCUUCCAUAGCUGUUCAUACAAAAAAAUCCAGCUAUGUGUCAAGAAUCAGGAACUUUUCCCUCAUAAAUAUCCAUAUGAAUCCCAAAAAUCACAAAAAUUAAAAUAAAUAUCACAGUGCUAGGUAAUGAAAUUGUACUGCAACCAUAAAAGAGAGAAAACCACUUCCCAAAACUAUGAAAAAUGAGAGUCACAGUGAACUAGGGCAAAUAAUCAGAACUUCCUGGGUAUGCCUUUAUCUUUCCUCAACAGAGAUAAUUGGUCUUUCACAUUCCUCGUGCUGUCACCAAAAAUAACAGAGCAACAGCAGGGUGGAGGAAGAGCACCAGCACGGUGGAGGAAGAGCACCAACAUGGCAGAUAAAGAGCACCAACAUGGCGGAGGAAGAGCACCAACAUGGCGGAGAAAGAGCACCAACAUGGCAGAGGAAAAGCACCAACAUGGCGGAGGAAGAACACCAACAUGGCGGAGGAAGAACACCAACAUGGCGGAGAAACAGCACCAACAUGGCGGAUGAAGAGCACCAACAUGAAGCUAACCGCGUUCUCUUCACAGUUUGCCUUUCUUCCUCUUCUUCGUUGCUUUGACCGUCCUGCACAUAUCCAUUCUUAUGUCCAUCACCAAGACCUGAAAACCUCCACUGACUGGCUUCCCUACAGACUGAGAAUAUGGCAGAAAAGCUUAUAAAUCACAGCUGUGCAUUGUCCAAUCAACAUUCAACAGUGAUUCUUUUGAAAGUGACUGUGAAGAUCUGAAACUCUCAAGGAAACACAGAGAA